rnacentral:pre_miRNA from 1 species
GAAGUUUUCCUCGGCAGUUAACUGCAGCCAGUUUCAUAAUUCGGCAGUUAACUGCCAAGGAGCAU